UAAUCAAUCGAUAUAUACACUCGUAUAAUAGCAGGAAUAUGGCCUGCAAGUUUCUACCAGAUGACCGUUAAUCAUCUGACUACGGGUAAGCGUAUAAAAUGG
rnacentral:ncRNA from 2 species